GACGAACGCUGGCGGCGUGCCUAAUAUAAUGCAGUCGAACGCUUUUUCUUUCACCGGAGCUUGCUCCACCGAAAGAAAAAGAGUGGCGAACGGGUGAGUAACACGUGGGUAACCUGCCCAUCAGAAGGGGAUAACACUUGGAAACAGGUGCUAAUACCGUAUAACACUAUUUUCCGCAUGGAAGAAAGUUGAAAGGCGCUUUUGCGUCACUGAUGGAUGGACCCGCGGUGCAUUAGCUAGUUGGUGAGGUAACGGCUCACCAAGGCAACGAUGCAUAGCCGACCUGAGAGGGUGAUCGGCCACACUGGGACUGAGACACGGCCCAGACUCCUACGGGAGGCAGCAGUAGGGAAUCUUCGGCAAUGGACGAAAGUCUGACCGAGCAACGCCGCGUGAGUGAAGAAGGUUUUCGGAUCGUAAAACUCUGUUGUUAGAGAAGAACAAGGAUGAGAGUAGAACGUUCAUCCCUUGACGGUAUCUAACCAGAAAGCCACGGCUAACUACGUGCCAGCAGCCGCGGUAAUACGUAGGUGGCAAGCGUUGUCCGGAUUUAUUGGGCGUAAAGCGAGCGCAGGCGGUUUCUUAAGUCUGAUGUGAAAGCCCCCGGCUCAACCGGGGAGGGUCAUUGGAAACUGGGAGACUUGAGUGCAGAAGAGGAGAGUGGAAUUCCAUGUGUAGCGGUGAAAUGCGUAGAUAUAUGGAGGAACACCAGUGGCGAAGGCGGCUCUCUGGUCUGUAACUGACGCUGAGGCUCGAAAGCGUGGGGAGCGAACAGGAU
rnacentral:rRNA from 1 species